rnacentral:rRNA from 1 species
GGGUGAGUAAUAUAUCGGAACGUACCAUUCAGCGGGGGAUAACGUAGCGAAAGCUACGCUAAUACCGCAUAUUCUGUGAGCAGGAAAGCAGGGGAUCGCAAGACCUUGCGCUGAUUGAGCGGCCGAUAUCAGAUUAGCUUGUUGGUGAGGUAAAAGCUCACCAAGGCGACGAUCUGUAGCGGGUCUGAGAGGAUGAUCCGCCACACUGGAACUGAGACACGGUCCAGACUCCUACGGGAGGCAGCAGUGGGGAAUUUUGGACAAUGGGGGCAACCCUGAUCCAGCCAUGCCGCGUGAGUGAAGAAGGCCUUCGGGUUGUAAAGCUCUUUCAGCCGGGAAGAAAACGCAUGGGUUAAUACCCUGUGUGGAUGACGGUACCGGAAUAAGAAGCACCGGCUAACUACGUGCCAGCAGCCGCGGUAAUACGUAGGGUGCGAGCGUUAAUCGGAAUUACUGGGCGUAAAGCGUGCGCAGGCGGUUUUGUAAGACAGGCGUGAAAUCCCCGGGCUUAACCUGGGAACUGCGUUUGUGACUGCAAGGCUAGAGUACGGCAGAGGGGGGUGGAAUUCCACGUGUAGCAGUGAAAUGCGUAGAUGUGGAGGAACACCAAAUGGCGAAGGCAGCCCCCUGGGUCGAUACUGACGCUCAUGCACGAAAGCGUGGGUAGCAAACAGGAUUAGAUACCCUGGUAGUCCACGCCCUAAACGAUGUCAACUAGGUGUUGGGAGGGUAAAACCUUUUAGUACCGGAGCUAACGCGUGAAGUUGACCGCCUGGGGAGUACGGCCGCAAGGUUAAAACUCAAAGGAAUUGACGGGGACCCGCACAAGCGGUGGAUGAUGUGGAUUAAUUCGAUGCAACGCGAAAAACCUUACCUACCCUUGACAUGCCAAGAACUUUCCAGAGAUGGAUUGGUGCCCGAAAGGGAACUUGGACACAGGUGCUGCAUGGCUGUCGUCAGCUCGUGUCGUGAGAUGUUGGGUUAAGUCCCGCAACGAGCGCAACCCUUGUCGUUAAUUGCCAUCAUUUAGUUGGGCACUUUAACGAGACUGCCGGUGACAAACCGGAGGAAGGUGGGGAUGACGUCAAGUCCUCAUGGCCCUUAUGGGUAGGGCUUCACACGUCAUACAAUGGUCGGUACAAAGGGUCGCCAAGCCGCGAGGUGGAGCCAAUCCCAGAAAGCCGAUCGUAGUCCGGAUCGCAGUCUGCAACUCGACUGCGUGAAGUCGGAAUCGCUAGUAAUCGUGGAUCAGAAUGUCACGGUGAAUACGUUCCCGGGUCUUGUACACACCGCCCGUCACACCAUGGGAGCGGGUUCCGCCAGAAGUAGGUAGCCUAACCGCAAGGAGGGCGCUUACCACGGCGGGGUUCGUGACUGGGGUGAAGUCGUAACAAGGUA